GCCGGCGUAGCUCAGCUGGUAGAGCGCCUGACUUGUAAUCAGGGGGUCGCAGGUUCGAUUCCUGUCGCCGGCUCCA
rnacentral:tRNA from 1 species